rnacentral:rRNA from 1 species
UACGUAGGGGCGAGCGUUGUCCGGAAUUACUGGGCGUAAAGGGUGCGUAGGUGGUUUCUUAAGUCAGGAGUGAAAGGCUACGGCUCAACCGUAGUAAGCUCUUGAAACUGUAAGACUUGAGUGCAGGAGAGGAGAGUGGAAUUCCUAGUGUAGCGGUGAAAUGCGUAGAUAUUAGGAGGAACACCAGUUGCGAAGGCGGCUCUCUGGACUGUAACUGACGCUGAGGCACGAAAGCGUGGGGAGCAAACAGGAUUAGAUACCCGGGUAGUCCCUGAG